AAAUGCCUGGUGAAGCCACAGAAACUGUCCCAGCGACAGAACUGGAGCUGCCACAGCCUCACGCUGAGACAGUAACUCCAGCUCCUGGGGGCCCUAUGGAAGUGAAGCUGACACCUGAGGAGUCCAUACCAGUCGCCACCAAGAAUCCUGAGGUGGCGGGCCAGGGUUCUCAGGCUGGGACAGCUCUAGAGCCUUCAGCUGCUGUUUCCAGCUCCUCUGAUUCUAGCCCUGCACACCCUUCCUCUUCAUCCCAUGAUGCUAAAUCUUCCCCUGCUGGAUCCUGUCCUUUGAGCACUCCACUGGCUUCUGCUGGCUUUGCUGUGGCAGCCCAGACCCCUCUUUCUCCUCCAAAACCUACUGAUUUGAUUAUACAUGCACAAGCAGCUAGCCCUUCAUUUCCAGGCAUUGCAUCAGAUUCUUGCCUGGCUCCAGUUAUACUUUCUGAGUCUGUUGGUCUGGCUUCUCCAGCUUCCCCCGUGAACCCUGCUCUUACAGCUGCUACCCUGGUUUCUCAGAUGCCAUCAUGUACACCUGCCCCAGCUCCUUUCAUUAUCCCAGUUGCUCCUGUUUCUCCCUCUUUAACACCAGCCCCUCCUAUUCUCCCUGCUUCUUCAAGCCCUUUAUCAGCUCCUCCCAAGUUUCCUGCCAGUCCCACAGCCCCUAUUCCAAUUUCUGCCCCUACAAUCCCACCUUUUGCUUCAUGUCCUCUUCUCCCAGCAUCUGCCAUUUCUCCCCCUGCUCCACCAGUGCUUCCCUCUCUUAGACCCAUAACCUCUUUUCCAGUUCCUCGCAGUCCUGGAGCUCCCCCUCCAGCACUAGCCACUCUUACUUCAGCCCCAGUGUCCCCUCCCCCUGUUACUAAACCACAAAGCUCAGUGAUACAACUUACUUCACCCCACAAUCCCACUGUUUGUUCAGUAACUAUAUCUAGUUCUGCAACCCCUGCAGAGCAACGUGCAGGACCAUCUGAAGGUUCUGCUUGUCUUCCCAUGAUUCCUGCUUUGGCACCUGUCUCCAAACCUGUAGAAUCUGUUUCUCCUGUGGCUUCUGUUGCACCCUUGGAAGCCUCUCCUAAAAGCCCAACCAAGCCUGCCUCUGGUACUGGUGUCCCAGCAGCAGCUCCAUUUGCACCACCUGCAAAAUCUGUUUUAGUACCAGCUUCUGGUCCUGUAGUCCCUCCUCCAGCCCUAGCAGCAGCUUCCUCUGGUUUUAUGGCACUUGCAGAACCACCUGUGAAACCAAGUACCAGUCCUAUAGCUCCAUCAGGCCCUGCUUCUGGGCCAUCUGUAAAACCUGUGUCUGCUCCUGGAACUCCUCCUUUGAUUACAGCCAGCCCCACUGUUGGUCCUGUGGCACUCGCAGGGCCACCUGUACAGCCUGCUUCCCAUUCAGUCCAUAUUUCUAGUCCCGGAACUACUCCUCUGUUCACAGCAGAUUCUCAUUCUGGCCCAGUGGGACUUGCAGAAGCAACCAUGAAACCAGUCAUAAACCCUAGAACACCAACAGACCCUGCAGCUGUUCCAGUAGUACCUGCUGGUCCACCUAUAAAACUUCCUUCUGUCACUCCACAGGGUCAGGCGAGCCCUAUGGCUGGUUCCAUGCCACCUGCUGGACCACCUGUAAAACUUCCUUCUGGCUCUGCAGCCUACACAGAAGCAGUUUCAACUCCAUUGUUACCUAUGGAGCCAUCUGCAAAACCCAUGUUUUCCCCAGUGAUCUCAGCAGGGCCUGUAUCUACACCUGUGGCAGCUGCAGGACCCCCUGUGAAAUUUGCUUCAGCAUCUGUUUCUAGGUCUGUGCCCCUUCCUGUGCCACAGGGAGUACCAGCUUCUGCACCACUGAUGCCUACAUGGCCCUCUGUGAAAUCUAGUUCUUCUUCACCUAAUUCUGGUCCUAAAGCCCCACCAGUGCUUGCUUCUCAGCCAGUAGCUCCUGUUUUGGCAGCUGGCUCUGGCCCUAUGCCUGGAGUUCCUGUAGGAUCUGUUCCUACACCAUUGUCAUCACCAGUGAAAUCUGUCACUCAGACACCUGCCCCUACUCCUUUGGCUCCAGCAGGACCUCUUUCUAGUCCUAUGCCAUCUGCUACCCAAUCUGUGGCUCCUCCCUUGAUCCCUACUUACAGUUCGGUGGUUGCAGCAGCACCUGCAACUAAGCAGCUGGCACCCUCAGUGCGCCCUCCGGUACCUUCCUCGCCUUCUGGAGCUUCUUGUCCUAUAGUUCCUACAUCACCAGCACCAGCAGUGACACCCAUAAAACCUUCUCCUCCUUUGGCAUCUGUCUCUGAUCCAGGGAUCCCAGCCAGUCAUGAAGCUUCUCCAGCUCAGCCCUCUGCAGUCCCUCCUGAGGCCUUGGCAGGGGUAUCUUCUACAUCACAGGCCCCUGCAGCACCACAGAAAAAGACUGCUUCUCCUCCAGUCCUUUUCUCUGUCCCUGGGAUAUCUGUACCCCAGUCAGUUGUGGCGCCUCCCACACCUGUUUACGGGCCACUAACACCACCUGUGGUCCCAACUGAGGUUUCUUCUAGUCCUUUGUUGCCAGCUUCCACCACGAAAACUUCUCCUGUAGUCUCAGCAUUGUCUGCUUCUAAACCUUCUGCGCCACCUCUGAAACCAGCUUCUGCUUUGGUACCUACAUCUGCCCCUUUGGUCCCUGCUGGGACUCCAACAGUGCCAGCUUCUAACCCUGAGCCCUCUGCAGUGGCCCAUGAAGUAUCUUCUUCUUUGGUCAUGCCUGUGACAACGCCUGUUGCUGUUUCUACAAAACCUGUUGUUUCUGUAUCUAGCCCAGUAACAUCUAACAUAGCAUCUGCCUCCCCUCCUGCUGCCACUCCAGCAGUGACUUCACCAUUGUCUCCUCCCAUGUCACCUCCAGUCCCACCUCCUCCCACACAGGUAGCAGCAAGUCCUGUCUCUGCCCCCAAAACACCAGCUCUCCCUUCUGUCUCUCCUGCCACCUCAAUUGCUGGGAAGCCAGAGACUCCUCCAAAAUCAGUAUCUGUGCCCCUUGCACCACCUGAUCUCUCUAUUUCUCAGCCUUCUUCCCCUAUGAAAAAGCCAGCUCCCUCUGUGCUUCCUAAGCCAUUGCCAGCUCCACCUGCUUCUGGUGCAGCCACUGAAGUGCCAUCCCAAAUCCCAACCCUUUCCUCCGUUGUCCUUGAAGAUGAUGAACUGCCACCUUUGAUCCCACCAGAGGUGCCUGCUGGGGAGCCACCUCUGCAGCCAGUCCUGGUGGAUUUCUCUCCUAAACCAGCUGUAGCUCUUGCUGAGAUCCCAGCAAGUGCUCCUCUUCUUCCUCCUCCUCCUGCCAAACAGCCUGUCCUGAAGAAUGAUAAGGGUAUUUGCCUCCGUUUGCUGUGUGCAUGGAUAUCACAGACUACUCACUGAAUACUAAUUUAUUUGUAUAGGUCUCUCUGCUUUGUUCAUUAGCUUAGAAAAGUAGUUUUUAGAAGUGAAAUGAACUCUUCCUAGCCUGAGUACAUCAAAUUGUGGUCAAAGCCAUCUGAAGGUUUCUUUUGUGUGUGCUGAAGACUCAAAUGUGUGUAUAGGCCACAAAUGAGAGUGUCUAUUCUCACAUUGAGCAUGCUGUGAGUGCCUGAUAAAGGGUGUGAUGUCAGACACGCCUCAUCCGGUAUUUCUGGAAUAGCACUAACCUAGAAACUCUAAUCACUGCUUUGUUUGCUGUAGCACUUUCUGUCCUCCAAGCCUGUUUUCAGCAAUUCUAGUAUUUCCUUCUGAUUGGUUAUUUACAAGAUCCUGCUGACUACAGCUGAUAUGAAUGAGAUGAUCACAAUUUUAGCAUGUGUUAUGAAUUCCUUUGUGCAGACUUGUGUCUUAUCCUGGUUGUGAAAGGAGACAUUGCAGACUAAAACUAACAUUUCUGUCCUAUUUGGUGACCUAUCUCCAGUUGCAAGUCUAAAAUAGAUUUAUGGAAAGAAUGAAAUAUGCAUUAAUGUCCUAACUUCAGUGCAUCUAUUCAGUUGGUUUGAGGCCUUCCUCUGCAUUGUCUGUGUGUCCUUGGAGCAUGAUCUCUUUUUAUUGUCAGUAGGAGUAAUUUGUUGAACGUGUAUUUAAACAGUGUGUGUGUCAUGGGUUAAUUUAAGCACCUAUUAAAGAUCAGAAAUCAUUAGACUGUGGAUCAAGCAACCAGACACUUCAGUGUUGGCUGGCGUGAAUACAGCUGUAGGGAAAGAUAAGGAGGCAUUUCAUGAACUGGAUUUAGCUCAUUAGUUCAUUAACAGGUAAGCGGGGAUAGCCAUUUGUUCUUGUUCCAUGAAAAGUGUAGCCUAGACAUAUUCCAUUGCUUUCACAUUUCUAGCUGGUAACAUUUCCUCACUCACAUCCAACACACACAUCCUGCGUUAAAAUAAUCCCUUGAGCCAGCAGUCCACUGGAAUCAUCCAUUCAUCAGUGGCAGUCAUAUUGUUUGUAGCUGUCUUAUGCUGUGAGUAUAGAGCAGGCAUGGGAAAACUUCGGCCCUCCAAGUGUUUUGGACUUCAGCUCUCAAAAAUCUCAGCCAGCUUACCAGCUACUAGGAGUUGUGGGAGUUAAAGUCCAAAAUACCUGGAAAAUAGAAGUUUGCCCGAGCCUGGUAUAGAAGAUCUUGAAGUGAAAGAUAUUUGUCCCAUAGUCACAGACCUUGAACUUUUGAAAACUGUGCCUUUUUUUCUUUUAAAAAGUGAGAUGUGUAAAAUUUAAAAUCACAAAAUCUAGUCUUUGCAGAUAUGUUUACCUUUUGGAUAAUGUGGUGCUUCCUUCUUCACUUUUUUCUUCACUUCCUCUUCACCUUCCCUGGUUACUUUUGAAGCUCCUUCUUCCUUUCCGUGAUUAGAAAUAAUCAACAUUUGGUCAUAAGUUUCAGUAAUAAUACGUUUUGCAAAUCGUUGCAUAUAGGCAAUCCUAGAUAGUGCUAGUUGUAGUUUUUCCCAGUUCAGACAGUAUGACAAACCCUAAAAUGAAAGGUGUAAAAAUGUAUGCAGUGGAGAAGGAAUGUGCAAGUCUGCAACACACUUCUGAUAUCCAGACUAUGAUCUGAAUUGAUCUGAAGUUCAGCUGCCUCUUUCUUUCUAUUCAAACUACUAUACAAAGCAGAGAUGGCACAUUGAGCCUGCUGUUGAAACUGUGAUUAGAUUAUUUUUUCCAAAAAUUCCUUUCAUUUUCUGCCUGUGUCAUUGGGAACUUUUAUGCUGUACCUUAACUAUUAAGAGCUUGAUAAUAUAUUUAUUGUCUAUAUUUAUGUAUAAAUCAUUUCAUGUAUAAGACAAGGGAAAGUUUGGGGGCCAAAUAUAUGUAUUUGCUAUGAAUAAGUUAAGGGUUAAAUUAAGGGGCACACUUGAAACUCAGACACAAAUAAAUGUAUGGCAGGAGUGUAAUUUUGACAACCCUGGCUGUUCCUGCAGCUAUGUGGGUCAAUGGCACCUAUAAGAAAGAAAGGCAGCCUUCCUCAUUGUUUAUGUCCCAAGCGACAUUCAGUAGCAAGUGGGAGAGCUUAUACAGUAUGCCUCUAUUAAAAAUGGCCACCAGCCACAAGAGGCUUAUAUAGUAAGCUCCUAUUUAAAUUGGCCACCACUGCCACUCUACUCCACUGCAGGCACCCAAAAUGAUGAGAAGUAAAUCUCAUCAAGCCGGUCCUGUCAUCUGUUUCCAGUAUUGACCAGUCAAUAAGCCCACUGAGUUAUUUUUAUAAAAAGAAAUAAACCUUAUGCACAAUUACGUGCUUUAUAUAAAUAAUCUAACCUGAAAUAGCUGCACCUAUCCAAAGUUUGGUUUAAAUUGGAACAAAUGCUGAGAAAGGUAAUGUUUGGAAUUCUUCUUACGUGUUGUCUGUGAAAUGCCAACAAAUCAGUUGACAAUGCGCCUGCGCAGAUUUCGGAACCUU
rnacentral:lncRNA from 11 species